rnacentral:misc_RNA from 1 species
GAAAUGCGAUAAGUAAUGUGAAUUGCAGAUUUUCAGUGAAUCAUCGAAUCUUUGAACGCACCUUGCGCUCCUUGGUAUUCCGAGGAGCAUGCCUGUUUGAGUGUCAUUAAAUUCUCAACCCCACCGAUUUGCUUUGGGGGGAUUGGACUUGGAGCGUGCUGGCGAAGGUCGGCUCCUCUUUAAAUGCAUCAGUGGAGAGAAACUUGCCCCAGUGUGAUAAUCCUGUUGCGCUGUGGUGGGUGAAAGUCUGCUUCCAACUGUCCUCCGGGACGAUACACCAUCUUAUUUUGACCUCAAAUCAGGUAGGACUACCCGCUGAACUUAA